rnacentral:rRNA from 1 species
CCUGCCCAAGAGAUCGGGAUAACACCUGGAAACAGAUGCUAAUACCGGAUAACAACAGAUGAUGCCUAUCAACUGUUUAAAAGAUGGUUCUGCUAUCACUCUUGGAUGGACCUGCGGUGCAUUAGCUAGUUGGUAGGGUAACGGCCUGCCAAGGCGAUGAUGCAUAGCCGAGUUGAGAGACUGAUCGGCCACAUUGGGACUGAGACACGGCCCAAACUCCUACGGGAGGCAGCAGCC